UACAGAGGUCUCAAGCGUUGUUCGGAUUCAUUGGGCGUAAAGGGUGCGUAGGCGGCGCGGUAAGUCGGGUGUGAAAUCUUGGAGCUUAACUCCGAAACUGCAUUCGAUACUGCCGUGCUUGAGGACUGGAGAGGAGACUGGAAUUUACGGUGUAGCGGUGAAAUGCGUAGAUAUCGUAAGGAAGACCAGUGGCGAAGGCGGGUCUCUGGGCAUCUCCUGACGCUGAGGCGCGAAAGCGUGGGGAGCAAACAGG
rnacentral:rRNA from 1 species